rnacentral:lncRNA from 1 species
GGGGGGGGAGUUUUGAUUAACUUAUUAAUUAAUUAAUGCACGUCGAACAUGAUUUGACAAAAUACUAAUAAUGAACUUUUCAUAUUUGUAUAUUAUUAUUAGGGUGUAAUUGUGUCGAAUCUCGAACACGUUAUUCUAAACCAUUUUCUUGUUAGAAUACAUUAAUAAACUUGAUUUGUAUAGAUAUUUUGUAAAGAGUGUUCUAGAAUAGUUGAG